GUUCAUUUGGCGGGCCGGACAAAAUCUGUCCGCGGGCCGUAGUUCGGAGACCCCUGAACUAGAGCAUUGAUUUCAGGAUUUUAUCUAGAUUAGACAAAAUCCUGAAAUGAAAGGGGUGCCCAAAAUUCUUGAAGGAAACACUAAAGUCGUCUCACCAAAACCACCACGAAUGUUUGUGUUCAUAAAAAUGCACAAAACACCCAUAGACAUUAGACCUGUAGUGGAAAGGAAAGAUGUGCCAACCUUUUUGGUUGAAAAAACAUUAGCAAAGUGGGCAAGAGAAAAAAUGAAAGGAUACGAGUGGUUUUUGACAUCGUCCAUACAAUUUCUAGAUGCAUUAUAUGAGAAGGACCCAUUAUAUGAGAAGGCUCUAGAAGAGAAUAUGAAGAUA
rnacentral:lncRNA from 1 species